UCAUAGAAAACAACACUGAGCUGGAUGCGCCAAGGGCAUAAAGCAGCGUCACAUAUUCAUAUUGGUUUCCCUUUGCGGUCUAUCUACUGUGCACGAAGAAGUUGCUGGGUUUGGCCUCUGCAUCUCCAGUUCUAGGAUCUCCAGAAGCAGAUUUGGAGAACAUCUUUCUGUGCCUGAGACUUGGGAAGGCACUGCCAUUCAGCAGGGAGGCAUCUUGCAGCCUUACAUGGAGUCCUGCCCUUCAGAGGAGCCAUUUUCUCCAGGAGAACUGAUCUUUGGAGAUGAGUUGUCUUUUCCAGGAGUCCUCCAGGCCUCACCUGAAGGCUGGCAACCCUACAGCUGAUAGUGGCAUUGACUGUGCUGUGCUGUUGGGGAAGGGCCAGUGCCUUUACUGUGCCAGCUGGUAAGGACCAGAUCAAUCAAGUUUGCUAGGGAGAAAAAGAAAGAAGAAGAAAACAUCAGACAACGGCAAGUUGAUCCAAGCAAGACCUGAGAUGCUAAAUCCAAUCUGAGCUCCUCUUCACCUUGGCUAAAUCCUAGUCAGCCCAAGUUUGGCAAGGUGACUGCACAAGGUUUUCGCUGCUUUGCUAUGACACGCCACCAGAAGAGAAAUACCUGAUCCACAGGAAAAUGUGAAGGCUUCAUGAUUCAGUUUUAAGCCAAAUACUCUGCAUGCAACAUUCACAGCGUUCUUUUCUUGAUUGUCUUCAUUGACAUGGAGUCCAACGUGGGUGGUUUAAGGUCAAAGGACUUCAGUUUUGCAAGUCUUCUGAGCUGGCACAGGGAUUUUGUGAGGACCACGGGGAAGGGGUUGUUGGGCUGCCCCCGGAAGAAACGGGCCAUAAAAUCUGUGAAUUUUGAUUAAGAAUGUCAGUGUUUCGGGGGCGGAAGGAGGUUCUUUGCCAGAGAUUCUCUUUGAGCUGGCUUGCAGCUUGGAGUAUGUGGCAUAAUAACCAAGGGUGUCUGUGAGCAUGUGCAAAAUAAUGUGAUGUAUA